rnacentral:rRNA from 1 species
GGAGGGUGCAAGCGUUAUCCGGAUUUACUGGGUUUAAAGGGUGUGUAGGCGGACUUUUAAGUCAGCGGUGAAAUCUCCGGGCUCAACCCGGAAACUGCCAUUGAUACUAUUGGUCUUGAAUGUUGUUGAGGUGGGCGGAACGGGUCAUGUAGCGGUGAAAUGCAUAGAUAUGACCCGGAACACCGAUUGCGUAGGCAGCCCACUAAGCAACGAUUGACGCUGAGGCACGAAAGCGUGGGGAUCAAACAGGAUUAGAUACCCUGGUAGUCCACGCCCUAAACGAUGAUUACUCGACGUUGGCGAUACACUGAUCAGCGUCCAAGCGAAAGCAUUAAGUAAUCCACCUGGGAAGUACGUUCGCAAGAAUG